GCUAUGGGAAUACCCCUGCCUGGUCAAAUAGGGAAGCUAGCGCACACCAAGUAAAGAAUUAAGCUAAAAGUAAGCACCAGUUCAACCAGAAAAAUCAUCACCUUUUUUUUGACACUGAAAAAUCAUCACCUUAAUUAGCUUUGUAAAAGCUUGGGAAAAGAUCCAGCAGGUUAAACAUGAUUAGUGCUUGGUGCCGCCUGGACGCCUUUAGCACCGAUCCAAAGCGCAAAUAAUGCAUAGGCCUGCAUCUUCAUCUCCAUUAUAAUAAGUAAACUUAUAUCGCUCAACCAAAGCGUGGCCUCCGUAGGCCUUAGCGCUAUGUCGGCCAAUUCCCUGCCUCCGUGUGUCACUUUGGAUUGUUUGCUUCUUACGACGCUGGCACGUGGUAGGUUUUGGUGGAGUUUGCUGGACCUCACGUGGUUCUCCCUUUGGUUUGCAUGGGGUGCUUUUCGUUGGCCCAGUUUGGUUUCCUGGGCUGGUUCUUCUGUUUCCCAUGUAUGGCCAUCGUUUCGGCCUUUUCUGGUCUGUUCCAUUCAUCUUGCUCGGCGGCCUGCUGGGGCUGCGUGCCUGCGUCCAUCCCAUGCCACAGCCACAUCGCCUCUAUCAGCUUCCCUGGUGGCAUCGCCUCCAUCUUCCACCUGUACCUGGUUUUUUUAGGCUGCACCGCCGCCGGCUGCUCCAGUUCGGCGUCUGCAGUUCCUUUCCUUCUUCGGAAUCAUCAGCCUCCUUUGUGCUGCGCUCCUGGGGGUCGAGGGCCUCUGGUACUUCAGGUGAGAUUACUUAGUGCUAAUUCUAGACUCUAUUGCUCUUUAUUAUUUAGUCGCAUUUCGUUGAUGUACCUGAUCUUAGUUAUCGCUCUUUCUUUGCUUCUUUGAUUGUGCCUGAUACAUCCUUUUGGGCAUGUGCUGUCAAAGAGAUUUUGUUAUUUCCAUUAUUUGUGCUGUACGCAUGUUAAUCCUAUGCACGCUUUUAUACUCUGUUCAGUUGCAUGUUCUGGAUUGCAAACUCUUUCAAAUAGCAUUUCAUUACUGUUGUGCUCAUUUGUGGCCUGCAAUAGCUGUCAAUUUGGUAUGUUGUUUUGUUGUGCUCUGCUUUUCCUGUGAUUAGGUUCCUAGUUUACUGUCACAGAGGUUUGCUGCUACUUAUAAUGUUGUUGGCCUGCAGUGGUUUUUUUAGGGGUUCCCAUUUUUGGUAUUUUGCCUAAGGAUUUUGUCUGGCCCUUAUGUUCAUUUUAUCUAUGGCCCUGUCUUCCUAAAUUGGUUUGUUGUUUAUUUCCCUUUUUCAGUGUAUCUAUUUCACUAUUUGUUUGCGUGAGUUGCGUACCUGUCUUGGAGUCUAUUUCCAUGCAUUCUAAAAGGCGAAAAAAACUCGGUCGGCUGCAUGCGCUUUGUCUUCUACGUCAGCUCAUUCUGGGUUGUCUAUUCGUCGUGUGUGUGAUAGUGGUCCAGCAAGUUGUCGUGACCUUAGGGAAGGCCGCCCAGCUGCAUUCUUGUGUGCAGGUCUGUGGUUCAUUUGGGGUCAUCGUGCUUUAGUGUGAUUCAUUUUGUGCUUGGUUGCUUCCUGUUCAUCUCCUUGCACGGUGUGGGCUAUUAUUCAUUUGUUUAUGUGUGAUUUAUCUAUAGUUUUGCUGACACGAAUAGUCGUUCUUAUGAGUGUUCAUGCUCUAUCAAGUGCAGCCUCCUCGGCUGUUCCUCCAUGGGGCAUCAUCGUCAGUUAGUGACUUCUCUUCAUUAUGCUAUAUAUUGUUAGGCAUAUAGAAUUUUACUCCUUUAUUGAGUUGGUCUGUGGUGGUAUAUUAUUCAUAUAGGGGACCAUUACUGUCCUUUGGUGGCACCUGCUGAUUCAAAUGAGAAUUGUGCUAAAAGAAUGAGUUGUAAUAGAGUCAAGGCGGCAGCGAGGCAAGGUCUGUGUGUUUCCUCAUUGCUUGCCUGCUCUAUUUGUUUCUCUAUUUAAUGCCUGCAUUUUUGUGGCCGCUA